rnacentral:snoRNA from 1 species
UCUCUCCAGAUACCUUAUCCCUCAGACCUAAAUAUUGGUCAGAGGGGCUAAAAAAAGAGGAAAAGUAAAACUGAAAUGGACUUGGAGUCUUUGGCAACAUAGAAGUUUAUCUCAAACAUAU